AUUGAACGCUGGCGGCAUGCCUUACACAUGCAAGUCGAACGGUAACGGGUCCUUCGGGAUGCUGACGAGUGGCGAACGGGUGAGUAAUAUAUCGGAACGUGCCCAGUAGUGGGGGAUAACUGCUCGAAAGAGCAGCUAAUACCGCAUACGACCUGAGGGUGAAAGGGGGGGAUCGCAAGACCUCUCGCUAUUGGAGCGGCCGAUAUCAGAUUAGCUAGUUGGUGGGGUAAAGGCCUACCAAGGCAACGAUCUGUAGUUGGUCUGAGAGGACGACCAGCCACACUGGUAAUGAGACACGGCCCAGACUCCUACGGGAGGCAGCAGUGGGGAAUUUUGGACAAUGGACGGAAGCCUGAUCCAGCAAUGCCGCGUGCAGGAAGAAGGCCUUCGGGUUGUAAACUGCUUUUGUCAGGGAAGAAAUCUUCUGGGCUAAUACCCCGGGAGGAUGACGGUACCUGAAGAAUAAGCACCGGCUAACUACGUGCCAGCAGCCGCAGUAAAAC
rnacentral:rRNA from 1 species